AUUUGGUAUCAAAGAAAAAAACUAAACCCAAAAGGAUCGGACAGCAUAAUCUCUAAUGUCCCUGAUAGCUCUAAAAUCUCUGAUUGUAAGAAAGAAAAUAGGAAGGCUUUCAGGUGUGUUUGCUUUGUUCUUGUUCUGUUCCCAGGGCUGGCAGAAGCAGAUCUGAUAAAGGAUGGAAAAAAAAAUCUACAAAAUGCCCCUAACUGCAAUUAUUUUAAGAUUAAUCAAGUAGACAAUGAUGAUAAAGUACUGCCCUCCAAGGCACUUUACAGAUGUUAUCUAAUUUCAUUACACAUACUUGCCAGUUUCUUUGUGGAAUGAAUAUGAGGAUUCCCCCUCCACCCUGGUAAGUUGUUGACAAUGAUAGUAUUGCGACCAGUAAUGUUAUCCUAAGAAAUAGGUAUG
rnacentral:lncRNA from 1 species